rnacentral:rRNA from 1 species
AGUGAACGCUGGCGACGUGCUUAACACAUGCAAGUCGAACGGUAACAGGAACUAGCUUGCUAGUUUGCUGACGAGUGGCGCACGGGUGAGUAAUAUAUAGUUAAUGUACCCCAAAGACUGGGAUAGCCACUGGAAACGGUGAUUAAUACUAGAUACACCUCUUUAACAUAAGUUAGAGAGGGAAAUGUCUUUUCGCUUUGGGAUCAGACUAUAUCCUAUCAGUUAGUUGGUGAGGUAAUGGCUCACCAAGGCAAUGACGGGUAGCGGGUUUGAGAGGAUGAUCCGCCACACUGGUACUGAGACACGGACCAGACUCCUACGGGAGGCAGCAGUGAGGAAUAUUGCACAAUGGAGGAAAACCCUGAUGCAGCAACGCCGCGUGGAGGAUGACGCAUUUCGGUGUGUAAACUCCUUUUAUGAGUCAAGAAAAUGACGGUAGCUCAUGAAUAAGCACCGGCUAACUCCGUGCCAGCAGCCGCGGU